rnacentral:rRNA from 1 species
GGUGUAGGCGGUGGCGCAAGUCGGAUGUGAAAUCCCGAGGCUCAACCUCGGAACUGCAUUCGAAACUGCGUCACUAGAGUCUCGGAGAGGGUGGCAGAAUUCCCGGUGUAGGGGUGAAAUCCGUAGAUAUCGGGAGGAAUACCAGUGGCGAAGGCGGCCACCUGGACGAUGACUGACGCUGAGACCCGAAAGCGUGGGGAGCAAACAGGAUUAGAUACCCUGGUAGUCC